UGGGGAAUAUUGGACAAUGGGCGAAAGCCUGAUCCAGCCAUGCCGCGUGUGUGAAGAAGGUCUUCGGAUUGUAAAGCACUUUAAGUUGGGAGGAAGGGCAGUAAUCGAAUACCUUGCUGUUUUGACGUUACCGACAGAAUAAGCACCGGCUAACUCUGUGCCAGCAGCCGCGGUAAUACAGAGGGUGCAAGCGUUAUUCGGAAUUAUUGGGCGUAAAGCGCGCGUAGGUGGUUCGUUAAGUUGAAUGUGAAAGCCCCGGGCUCAACCUGGGAACUGCAUCCAAAACUGGCGAGCUAGAGUAGGGGAGGGGGAGGUGGAAUUUCCUGUGGAGCGGGGAAAGGCGGAGGUAUAGGAAGGAACACCAGUGGCGAAGGCGACCACCUGGGCUCAUACUGACACUGAGGUGCGAAAGCGUGGGGAGCAAACAGG
rnacentral:rRNA from 1 species